rnacentral:lncRNA from 1 species
CCGGCAUGGCUUUCACCCUCUGUGAUUUAGUGUAUGUCUUUCCUCACACUAACUCUGACACACACCGAGCACAGUCCCCCGGCAUGGCUUUCACCCUCUGUGAUUUACUGUAUUUCUUUCCUCACACUAACUCUGACACACACCGAGCUCAGUCCCCCAGCAUGGCUGUCACCCUCUGUGAUUUACUGUAUGUCUUUCCUCACAUUAACUCUGACACACACCGAGCUCAGUCCCCGGCAUGGCUUUCACCCUCUGUGAUUUACUGUAUGUCUUUCCUCACACUAACUCUGACACACACCGAGCUCAGUCCCUGGCAUGGCUGUCACCCUCUGUGAUUUACUGUAUGUCUUUUCUCACACUAACUCUGACACACACCGAGCUCAGUCCCCCCGGCAUGGCUUUCACCCUCUGUGAUUUACUGUAUGUCUUUCCUCACACUAACUCUGACACACACCGAGCUCAGUCCCCCCGGCAUGGCUGUCACCCUCUGUGUUUUACUGUAUGUCUUUCCUCACACUAACUCUGACACACACCGAGCUCAGUCCCCGGCAUGGCUUUCACCCUCUGUGAUUUACUGUAUGUCUUUCCUCACACUAACUGUGACACACACCGAGCUCAGUCCCCCCGGCAUGGCUUUCACCCUCUGUGAUUUACUGUAUGUCUUUCCUCACACUAACUCUGACACACACCGAGCUCAGUCCCAGCAUGACUUUCACCCUCUGUGAUUUACUGUAUGUCUUUCCUCACACUAACUCUGACACACACCGAGCACAGUCCCCCAGCAUGGCUUUCACCCUCUGUGGUUUACUGUAUGUCUUUCCUCACACUAACUCUGACACACACCGAGCUCAGUCCCCCCGGCAUGGCUUUCUCCCUCUGUGAUUUACUGUAUGUCUUUUCCUCACACUAACUCUGACACACACCGAGCACAGUCCCCAGCAUGGCUUUCACCCUCUGUGAUUUACUGUAUGUCUUUCCUCACACUAACUCUGACACACACCGAGCUCAGUCCCCGGCAUGGCUUUCACCCUCUGUGAUUUACUGUAUGUCUUUCCUCACACUAACUCUGACACACACCGAGCUCAGUCCCCGGCAUGGCUGUCACCCUCUGUGAUUUACUGUAUGUCUUUCCUCACACUAACUCUGACACACACCGAGCACAGUCCCCCGGCAUGGCUUUCACCCUCUGUGAUUUACUGUAUGUCUUUCCUCACACUAACUCUGACACACACCGAGCUCAGUCCCAGGCAUGGCUUUCACCCUCUGUGAUUUACUGUAUGUCUUUCCUCACACUAACUCUGACACACACCGAGCUCAGUCCCCCCAUGGCUUUCACCCUCUGUGAUUUACUGUAUGUCUUUCCUCACACUAACUCUGACACACACCGAGCUCAGUCCCAGGCAUGGCUUUCACCCUCUGUGAUUUACUGUAUGUCUUUCCUCACACUAACUCUGACACACACCGAGCUCAGUCCCCGGCAUGGCUUUCACCCUCUGUGAUUUACUGUAUUUCUUUCCUCACACUAACUGUGACACACACCGAGCUCAGUCCCCGGCAUGGCUUUCACCCUCUGUGAUUUAGUGUAUGUCUUUCCUCACACUAACUCUGACACACACCGAGCACAGUCCCCCGGCAUGGCUUUCACCCUCUGUGAUUUACUGUAUUUCUUUCCUCACACUAACUCUGACACACACCGAGCUCAGUCCCCCAGCAUGGCUGUCACCCUCUGUGAUUUACUGUAUGUCUUUCCUCACAUUAACUCUGACACACACCGAGCUCAGUCCCCGGCAUGGCUUUCACCCUCUGUGAUUUACUGUAUGUCUUUCCUCACACUAACUCUGACACACACCGAGCUCAGUCCCCGGCAUGGCUUUCACCCUCUGUGAUUUACUGUAUGUCUUUCCUCACACUAACUCUGACACACACCGAGCACAGUCCCCCCGGCAUGGCUUUCACCCUCUGUGAUUUACUGUAUGUCUUUCCUCACACUAACUCUGACACACACCGAGCUCAGUCCCCAGCAUGGCUUUCACCCUCUGUGAUUUACUGUAUGUCUUUCCUCACACUAACUCUGACACACACCGAGCUCAGUCCCCGGCAUGGCUUUCACCCUCUGUGAUUUACUGUAUGUCUUUCCUCACACUAACUCUGACACACACCGAGCUCAGUCCCCCCGGCAUGGCUUUCACCCACUGUGAUUUACUGUAAGUCUUUCCUCACACUAACUCUGACACACACCGAGCUCAGUCCCCGGCAUGGCUUUCACCCUCUGUGAUUUACUG